UAUGGCAAACAGUGAGUUGGCGGACACAUAUCUUGGCAAUAAUGUUACACAAUUAAGAAACGGUAGCCUGAUUGCAGACCUGAUUUUGGAAUUCAAACGUGCAGAUCCCCAGGUAGAGAUUGUCCGCGACAUCAUCAAUAACAUUACAGGUGUAAUAAGAGAAAAGACGAAAGUGAAUUCCGAAAAUACUGAACAACAAUCAACAACAGGCACGACUGAAGAAUUAACAACAACAGCCACAACUGAAGAACCAACAACAACAGUCACAACUG